CCAGCAACAGGUCGACGAUUUCGAGACCGCAACCUUGCCAAGGUUGGGGUCGAGGGUUCGAAUCCCUUCGCCCGC
rnacentral:tRNA from 1 species